rnacentral:rRNA from 1 species
GAGUUUGAUCAUGGCUCAGAUUGAACGCUGGCGGCAGGCCUAACACAUGCAAGUCGAACGGUAACAGGAAACAGCUUGCUGUUUCGCUGACGAGUGGCGGACGGGUGAGUAAUGUCUGGGAAACUGCCUGAUGGAGGGGGAUAACUACUGGAAACGGUAGCUAAUACCGCAUAACGUCGCAAGACCAAAGAGGGGGACCUUCGGGCCUCUUGCCAUCAGAUGUGCCCAGAUGGGAUUAGCUAGUAGGUGGGGUAACGGCUCACCUAGGCGACGAUCCCUAGCUGGUCUGAGAGGAUGACCAGCCACACUGGAACUGAGACACGGUCCAGACUCCUACGGGAGGCAGCAGUGGGGAAUAUUGCACAAUGGGCGCAAGCCUGAUGCAGCCAUGCCGCGUGUAUGAAGAAGGCCUUCGGGUUGUAAAGUACUUUCAGCGGGGAGGAAGGGAGUAAAGUUAAUACCUUUGCUCAUUGACGUUACCCGCAGAAGAAGCACCGGCUAACUCCGUGCCAGCAGCCGCGGUAAUACGGAGGGUGCAAGCGUUAAUCGGAAUUACUGGGCGUAAAGCGCACGCAGGCGGUUUGUUAAGUCAGAUGUGAAAUCCCCGGGGCUCAACCUGGGAACUGCAUCUGAUACUGGCAAGCUUGAGUCUCGUAGAGGGGGGUAGAAUUCCAGGUGUAGCGGCGAAAUGCGUAGAGAUCUGGAGGAAUACCGGUGGCGAAGGCGGCCCCCUGGACGAAGACUGACGCUCAGGUGCGAAAGCGUGGGGAGCAAACAGGAUUAGAUACCCUGGUAGUCCACGCCGUAAACGAUGUCGACUUGGAGGUUGUGCCCUUGAGGCGUGGCUUCCGGAGCUAACGCGUUAAGUCGACCGCCUGGGGAGUACGGCCGCAAGGUUAAAACUCAAAUGAAUUGACGGGGGCCCGCACAAGCGGUGGAGCAUGUGGUUUAAUUCGAUGCAACGCGAAGAACCUUACCUGGUCUUGACAUCCACGGAAGUUUUCAGAGAUGAGAAUGUGCCUUCGGGAACCGUGAGACAGGUGCUGCAUGGCUGUCGUCAGCUCGUGUUGUGAAAUGUUGGGUUAAGUCCCGCAACGAGCGCAACCCUUAUCCUUUGUUGCCAGCGGUCCGGCCGGGAACUCAAAGGAGACUGCCAGUGAUAAACUGGAGGAAGGUGGGGAUGACGUCAAGUCAUCAUGGCCCUUACGACCAGGGCUACACACGUGCUACAAUGGCGCAUACAAAGAGAAGCGACCUCGCGAGAGCAAGCGGACCUCAUAAAGUGCGUCGUAGUCCGGAUUGGAGUCUGCAACUCGACCCCAUGAAGUCGGAAUCGCUAGUAAUCGUGGAUCAGAAUGCCACGGUGAAUACGUUCCCGGGCCUUGUACACACCGCCCGUCACACCAUGGGAGUGGGUUGCAAAAGAAGUAGGUAGCUUAACCUUCGGGAGGGCGCUUACCACUUUGUGAUUCAUGACUGGGGUGAAGUCGUAACAAGGUAACCGUAGGGGAUCCUGCGGUUG